rnacentral:misc_RNA from 1 species
UUUCCGUAGGUGAACCUGCGGAAGGAUCAUUAUUGUAUAACCGAGGUGCGAGUGGUGUCGCUGUCUCGAAAGUUCCUUCACGCAAGAGUGCCCUCACAAACAUCCAUCUCACCCCCCUGUCUACCACCUCUUGGUUCCCCCAUUGGCCGGUUCGGAGGGGGGCUUACGUGUUCACACAAACUUUGUAUGCAGUGUAGAAUGUAUUGUUUGUUUUUGCGAACACGCAAUCAAUACAACUUUCAACAACGGAUCUCUUGGCUCUC